rnacentral:rRNA from 1 species
GCGUGCUUAACACAUGCAAGUCGAGCGGUAAGGCCUUUCGGGGUACACGAGCGGCGAACGGGUGAGUAACACGUGGGUGAUCUGCCCUGCACUUCGGGAUAAGCCUGGGAAACUGGGUCUAAUACCGGAUAUGACCUCCUAUCGCAUGGUGGGUGGUGGAAAGAUUUAUCGGUGCAGGAUGGGCCCGCGGCCUAUCAGCUUGUUGGUGGGGUAAUGGCCUACCAAGGCGACGACGGGUAGCCGACCUGAGAGGGUGACCGGCCACACUGGGACUGAGACACGGCCCAGACUCCUACGGGAGGCAGCAGUGGGGAAUAUUGCACAAUGGGCGAAAGCCUGAUGCAGCGACGCCGCGUGAGGGAUGACGGCCUUCGGGUUGUAACCUCUUUCA